rnacentral:rRNA from 1 species
CUACGGGCGGCUGCAGUGAGGAAUUUUGCGCAAUGGGGGAAACCCUGACGCAGCAACGCCGCGUGAGCGAAGAAGGCCCUCGGGUCGUAAAGCUCUGUCAAGUGGGAAAAAAAUUUUUUGAUCAAUAGUCAAAAGACUUGAUGGUACCACUGGAGGAAGCACCAGCUAACUCCGUGCCAGCAGCCGCGGUAAUACGGAGGGUGCAAGCGUUGUUCGGAUUUACUGGGCGUAAAGAGCGUGUAGGCGGUUUAGCAAGUCAGAUGUGAAAGCCCUGGGCUCAACCCGGGAAGUGCAUUUGAAACUGCUUCACUAGAGUAUGGGUGAGGAGAUUGGAAUUCCUGGUGUAGAGGUGAAAUUCGUAGAUAUCAGGAGGAACACCCGUGGCGAAGGCGAUUCUCUGGACCAAUACUGACGCUGAGACGCGAAAGCGUGGGGAGCAAACAGGAUUAGAUACCCCGGUAGUC